rnacentral:rRNA from 1 species
UACAGAAGGUGCGAGCGUUAAUCGGAAUUACUGGACGUAAAGCGCGCGUAGGCGGCUUUGCAAGUCGGGUGUGAAAUCCCCAGGCUUAACCUGGGAACUGCAUUCGAGACUGCAUUGCUAGAGUAUGGGAGAGGGAAGUGGAAUUUCCGGUGUAGCGGUGAAAUGCGUAGAUAUCGGAAGGAACAUCAAUGACGAAAGCGACUUCCUAAACCAAUACUGACGCUCAUGUGCGAAAGCGUGGGGAGCAAACAGG